GGUAUUGGCUGCGGAUGAGCACCAUUUCCGGGGCUGUAAGGUAGAAGGGCAUGGCCACUGAUUUAGUUAAGUUGACGUUGUAGCCGAUACAUUACCGAAGUGGUCCAGCAAUGUCAUCAAGUGUUGUAGGGAGUUCAGCAGGUUACUGAGGGUGACGAGGACAUUUAUUAAUUCCCUAGAGCCUCAAACAAAACAUCCACAAAACUUUCCAAUAUACUAACUGGUAUUUUUAUCAAACCUUAC